UAAGCAUAAUGAGGAUACACUAUAAAUUUUCCGAUUUAGAUAUGAAGGAAUAUUUACCUCCUACUCAUUCUGA